rnacentral:misc_RNA from 1 species
UUUCCGUAGGUGAACCUGCGGAAGGAUCAUUAGUGAAUUGAGUAUUUUAGCGGACCUCUUCCGAGUCCCUAGCAUAAAAGCAUAGCCAUAACACCUGUUAAAUGUAAGGCUGUCUUUAAAACGUAAGUGAUUACAGCGCCUCUCCAUUUUAUACAACGAUUAAAGUAAUAAGCGUUGUCUUAUUAUAAUCUAAUAGAACUUUCAACAACGGAUCUCUUGGCUCUC